GACGAACGCUGGCGGCGUGCUUAACACAUGCAAGUCGAACGGAAAGGCCCUGCUUUUGUGGGGUGCUCGAGUGGCGAACGGGUGAGUAACACGUGAGAACCUGCCCUUGACUUUGGGAUAACUUCAGGAAACUGGGGCUAAUACCGGAUAGGAGCUCCUGCUGCAUGGUGGGGGUUGGAAAGUUUCGGCGGUUGGGGAUGGACUCGCGGCUUAUCAGCCUGUUGGUGGGGUAGUGGCUUACCAAGGCUUUGACGGGUAGCCGGCCUGAGAGGGUGACCGGCCACAUUGGGACUGAGAUACGGCCCAGACUCCUACGGGAGGCAGCAGUGGGGAAUAUUGCACAAUGGGCGGAAGCCUGAUGCAGCAACGCCGCGUGCGGGAUGACGGCCUUCGGGUUGUAAACCGCUUUCGCCUGUGACGAAGCGUGAGUGACGGUAAUGGGUAAAGAAGCACCGGCUAACUACGUG
rnacentral:rRNA from 1 species